GGUCAGUAGGUUGGUCGUGCCACCGGUACGUACUGGUCUCACUGAUUCCUCCUUCCUGAAGAACCGUAAUGCCAUUAAUUUGGUGUUGCGGGGAAACAGGACUGUUACUUUGAAAAAAUUAGAGUGUUUAGAGCAAGCUAACGCUUGAAUACAUUAGCAUGGAAUAAUGAAAUAGGACGAUCGAUCCUAUUUUGUUGGUUUCUAGGAUUGACGUA
rnacentral:rRNA from 1 species